GGCUAGGCUAGGUUUGAUAAUACCCAAAACAAAUGAAAAGAGAUCGGUGACGUCCACGCACAUCCUCCAUCCUCCGUCGUCCUUCUUUACCAUAACGGGAUUGGCGAGCCACAUCGGGUAGUAUACUUCUCGGAUUAUUCGGGCCUUCAGAAGUUUAUCAACUUCUUGAUUGAUCACUUCGUUCCGCUCAGGGGCAAAUGUUCUCUUCUUCUGUUUGAUCGGUUUCAUUCAAGGAUCCACGUUUAGCUUAUGACUAAUAAGCUCGGAGGGGGAUCCCGGCAUCUCAUCGGCCGAUUGCAAUUGAAUAUUCUUCCUCUUCCUCUCUUGUUUUAACUCCUAAAUACUUCUUAGUGACUCUUAAGUGAACUUAGGCCUGGGAGGCCUAAGGAACGAGCCUUUAGAGUGCAUUAGGAGUCCUUUUCCUUUGUUGUCUUAUGAUGCGAAGUAAAGAGUUCAAACUCCGGUAUUACUAGUAUAGAGC
rnacentral:lncRNA from 1 species